AGGUUUGGGGUAAGAAAUGAAGGGUUAGAGUUGUAUUUAAUUUUGAGGAUAAGGGUAUGAGAGCAAAUAUUUCGGAGCAUGUGUAACCGGGGGAGGUUUGAGAUUAGCGGGGCCUGAGAGCGACACCGAGCAGACGCCCCGUGGAGAGACGAUGCGUCAGUGUGUCGGCCAUCUUAUCCCAAAGACCCGACUGCCAUUGAAAGGCUUAACUUCAUGAACAUGGCCAAGCCGAGCAUCAAGGGUCUGAUCGAGUCGGCGCUCAUCCUCAGACGCACGCUCCAGCUGUCGCCAUGGAGCCCUGCCUUAAACAUGGACUAAAAUAACCAGCUGGCACAGAGGCAACAGGUGCAGGGAUUCUUGUGGCAACUUAUUUCUGGUUGCAAGGCAUCUUCCCCACUGAGUCACUGCAUAAGUGCUUAGACCAGCAAGAAGGGAAAGACUUGUCAUGCAAUGCCAAUAAAGGUGGUCUGGUGCCAAAAAUAUAUGAAGGCCAGCAAAGGAGCAUGCUCUGAAACGACCCACACUGAACAACAGACGGAGCAGAAGAAGAAGUUGGAAGUAGAUGUUGAAACAGCUCAAAUAAAGAACUGAUGGACAAUUUUGUUCUUGUAAA